rnacentral:rRNA from 1 species
ACGGGGGGGGGCCAGCGUUGUUCGGAAUUACUGGGCGUAAAGGGCGCGUAGGCGGCCUUCUAAGUCAGACGUGAAAUCCCUCGGCUCAACCGAGGAACUGCGUCUGAUACUGGAGGGCUUGAAUCCGGGAGAGGGAUGCGGAAUUCCAGGUGUAGCGGUGAAAUGCGUAGAUAUCUGGAGGAACACCGGUGGCGAAGGCGGCAUCCUGGACCGGUAUUGACGCUGAGGCGCGAAAGCCAGGGGAGCAAACGGGAUUAGAUACCCCGGUAGUCCUGGCCCUAAACGAUGAAUGCUUGGUGUGGCGGGUAUCGAUCCCUGCCGUGCCGGAGCUAACGCGUUAAGCAUUCCGCCUGGGGAGUACGGUCGCAAGGCUG